CUUGAUCUUAUCUGAGCAGUGGAAGCCACUGCACGGGGAUGCAUUUCCGAUUCUUUCACUUGCGGUUGUGACGGUGACGGCGGAGCCUCCGUUCUUGGCGGCUCUGCCCCCCGAUCCGCCUCCACGAAAGAUUGAAUGCAUUUCGCAGUUGGAACCUUGCAAUGAAGACUGCCCGCGGUUGGAGCCCCCUCUCUGCACUGCUUAGCAUUGCUUUGGGGCUGUGAUGGUCGCGCGGGCUCUCCAAAAUCAUUAUUCCCCACUAUAUUUUUUUUACCGUCUCUUUUAUUUGUCGGUGUUUUUUGUUUUGAUGUUUUGUGCAUUUCUACUGUUUGUUUACGCUUAUUUUCUCAUAUAACGAUGCUUUAUUUCACCGAUUGAAUUAAAUUAAACCAAUUUACUCUAAUUAUAGAUGUAUAACCUUUAUAGUCCGAACUCUGAUUCAUUGAGAUGCAAUUUCUUUGCUAAUUAAUCGGUUUUUCAUUUUUCUUUGCCGUCGGAGAGUGUAGGACGGGAAUGCAGACGAGUGCAGAAGGGAGACAGAGUAAUGCGACGUUUCGUUUCGCAAUCAUUGUCACAAUAUUCAAAAUAAUAUAAAUGGAACUGUUAGGC
rnacentral:sRNA from 1 species